AUUUAAAUAUUUUAAUAAAAAUAAAGAUUUGUGGUGUCUUAGAUGUUGAUUAAUUUAACUUUAAAUU
rnacentral:tRNA from 1 species